rnacentral:rRNA from 1 species
UGCUUAACACAUGCAAGUCGAACGGCAGCAUGGUCUAGCUUGCUAGACUGAUGGCGAGUGGCGAACGGGUGAGUAACGCGUAGGAAUAUGCCUUGAAGUGGGGGACAACUUGGGGAAACUCAAGCUAAUACCGCAUAAUAUCUUUGGAUGAAAGCUGGGGACCUUCGGGCCUGGCGCUUUAAGAUUAGCCUGCGUCCGAUUAGCUAGUUGGUAGGGUAAGGGCCUACCAAGGCGACGAUCGGUAGCUGGUCUGAGAGGAUGGCCAGCCACACUGGAACUGAGACACGGUCCAGACUCCUACGGGAGGCAGCAGUGGGGAAUAUUGGACAAUGGGGGCAACCCUGAUCCAGCAAUGCCGCGUGUGUGAAGAAGGCCUGAGGGUUGUAAAGCACUUUCAGUGGGGAGGAGGGCUUAUAGGUUAAGAGCUAAUAAGUUGGACGUUACCCACAGAAGAAGCACCGGCUAACUCCGUGCCAGCAGCCGCGGUAAUACGGAGGGUGCAAGCGUUAAUCGGAAUUACUGGG